AAGAAUAUUUGCUGCCGAGCGUAGCGAGGCAGCACACUAUUCUUGACACGUGGUGGUUGUUCCAGAGUCCACUCGACCCAGUCUUUCGCGCGACCUAUGUAUAGUCGACAUCUCGAUCUUGUGUCCGUCUGUAAAGAUGUCGUAAUCCGGGGGGAAUAAUUAAAAGCUUCAGGAACGUUUGUUAAAUGAGGGGAGCGGUCAAAACAAAAUUUUGUAUUGCACACGCAUCUCCAUGUGCUCAAGAGUUUUCAAGCUUUUAAAUACGGAUGCAAGAAAUCGAAAAUAUCGGGAAAAUUCAGGUAAAUAUGGCUCUAUUUCUUUCUUCUUAUAUAAAUCAAGGCGAUGAUUUUUUUAGUGUUCAAUCUAGAGGCAAACAAUGUGCUUUUAUCAGUUAAUAUCGCCACUUUUAACUGCCCAAAAUAUACCACUGAUCGAUUGGUCAAAAACAACAUUGAAUAAUGUCUUAUUACAAGGAGACAAAAUGUACUUGCAAGCUCUGGAUAAUGGCUUUGUUGUCUUAGAACCUGGUGUCGAAUGUGUGUCUGUAUAGAUAACUUACCUAAAGUUGUCAGUGUUUCAUGUUAUACGAACAUGUUUCCUUACGAGAUAUGUGAUCGACACACGUAAUAUGCCAGCUGCAGACUGCAGUGCAUGCGAAAACCACUACAACACAUGUGAAUCCUUUUGAUGCACACAAUAACGAUACUAUAAAGCCCAUUGAGGCAAAAACUAUUGAUCUGUCCAUUGUGGUAGAGCCCAUUGAGGCAAAAACUAGUUAUAAACAUUGUAUUGAUAUAUUGGUGCAAGUAUUUCACUUGUGUAUGCCAAAAAUUGGCAGAACAUAUUGCACGUUUUAGUCAAGCUAUAGUGUCAUUUUAUACGACUUUUUAUACUCAAAUGUCAUGCUACAUUAUAUUCCACUGUUGCUGAGAAUGGCAAAUGACACAGCUAAAAACGCACAGGUUGUUGCAAGUUGAUAUCGACAGGCAUGAACAAUGUUGUGCGGCCAACAAUGAACAAGUUGUCAACCAUGUUGUUCCAAGUUGUCAGGCAUGAACAAUGUUGUGUGGCCAACUAUGAACAAGUUGUCAACCAUGUUGUUCCAAGUUGUUACAGUUCCCAAGAGUGCAAUGGGAUACGUUCCAUUGCACUCUUUGCGAGUGCAAUUGUACUAUACGUGAUAAUCAGUCUUAAUUUGCAACUAAUUGAUAAUCAGGCUUAAUUUAAAGGGGCCCUACAAUCAUUUUUUAGUUGAAAAGCCACCUUUAGGUAUUGUUUACAUUUCUUGUUAUUGUUGCUACUUGACAUGCGCACCACAGCAUGCAUGCACCUUCCGGUGUGCGGAAGUAGUCAUACUCAUAGAUACUGCAUGUAAGAUACAGCCAAACGAACCUGCUUGAAGUCCACUACUUAAGGUGGUUUUUCGACUAAAAAAUGACUGUAGGGCACUUUAAUAAUCUGUGAAUCAAAUCGAAACCUUGACAUCUCCCCCGGGCAUACCCCCGAGAACUUGGAUUUUGACGUUUUGGUCAGGUCAAAUUCCCUACAUAUAUUUGUAAUUCCUGUUCAAAUACACCAUGUAUUGUGAAAAAUUGGAGUUCAAAUAACCCACCCCAUGUAUGAAUUAGAGCUACAGCAUUUCAUAAUUUUGGAAUUACAAAGUUUUUCUUUCCUUCACAAACGAUCUCUUCAAUCAUUCAAAGCCGUUUUCUUGUAGCCAACCAAAGACAAAGUUAAUUUCUUCACACUUGAACUCAUCCAUUGUCAUUGACACCAUUUUGGAUUCAGCACAUGUGUUUAAUUAAAUUCCCGGGUCAAAUUCGAGUCAAAUUCCCGACCCCCUAUAAGCAAAUUCCCCACCUUCCACUACAAAAAAAGUCAAAUUCCCGCCUUCUUCAAACACUAAACAAGCAAAUGCCAGGGGGGGAUGUCAAGGUUUCGAUUUGAUUCGCGCAGAAGAUUCCUAUAGCAACCCAGUGUGGAUUGUUGUUUGCAUAUAUUAACUUACCAGCAGUAAUAGAUAUUAUGUCCAUUGUUAGCAUAAUAUGAAGUAAUUUUAUCGGCCUAUUCAUAUGUUCACCUGACUGUGUCACUACAUUUCAGCGGGUAUACUAUAUUUUUCGAUAAUGCUCACAAUUUUUUUCUUAUUAUAUAGUUUUGCAGUUCUGGCUGAGUACAAUCUUAAUCAUUACAAUGAAUGGUGUCAUCUGAAGCUGAUGUAUUAAUUAAACAAAAAUGUCAACAAGGGUAGCCAUGAAGGUGCCAUUAAAACAAUAUUUGGGACAAAAACUGACUUAGUAUUUCUAUAUACAGUAUGAUAUUAUACAGUAUUCAGUGGCAAGCUAGUCAUGGCAACUGGUAAUGCUAUAUGCUAAUAAACCUACAACAUUUGAAUAAUCUAAAUAAUAAAUUUGCAUAGCAUGACCUAGCUGUUGCUAUUGCUAGCUUUGCCACAGAAAGUAUUAUAAUUAUACACACAAAAGUAAGAAAUUAUAAUUAUUGAAGGUACUGUAUUCAUAUUAUACCGUCUAUGCAGGCCAAGCUAAGAAAGUAGAAUUAGAAUAUUUAGCUGACCUCCGACUUUGUGCAAGGUGUUUGAUAUUCAAAUUGCAUUUUUCCUACUUCCUGA